rnacentral:rRNA from 1 species
GAACUGGGGGGGUGCCUAUACAUGCAGUCGAACGCUUCUUUUUCCACCGGAGCUUGCUCCACCGGAAAAAGAGGAGUGGCGAACGGGUGAGUAACACGUGGGUAACCUGCCCAUCAGAAGGGGAUAACACUUGGAAACAGGUGCUAAUACCGUAUAACAAUCGAAACCGCAUGGUUUUGAUUUGAAAGGCGCUUUCGGGUGUCGCUGAUGGAUGGACCCGCGGUGCAUUAGCUAGUUGGUGAGGUAACGGCUCACCAAGGCCACGAUGCAUAGCCGACCUGAGAGGGUGAUCGGCCACAUUGGGACUGAGACACGGCCCAAACUCCUACGGGAGGCAGCAGUAGGGAAUCUUCGGCAAUGGACGAAAGUCUGACCGAGCAACGCCGCGUGAGUGAAGAAGGUUUUCGGAUCGUAAAACUCUGUUGUUAGAGAAGAACAAGGAUGAGAGUAACUGUUCAUCCCUUGACGGUAUCUAACCAGAAAGCCACGGCUAACUACGUGCCAGCAGCCGCGGUAAUACGUAGGUGGCAAGCGUUGUCCGGAUUUAUUGGGCGUAAAGCGAGCGCAGGCGGUUUCUUAAGUCUGAUGUGAAAGCCCCCGGCUCAACCGGGGAGGGUCAUUGGAAACUGGGAGACUUGAGUGCAGAAGAGGAGAGUGGAAUUCCAUGUGUAGCGGUGAAAUGCGUAGAUAUAUGGAGGAACACCAGUGGCGAAGGCGGCUCUCUGGUCUGUAACUGACGCUGAGGCGCGAAAGCGUGGGGAGCAAACAGGAUUAGAUACCCUGGUAGUCCACGCCGUAAACGAUGAGUGCUAAGUGUUGGAGGGUUUCCGCCCUUCAGUGCUGCAGCUAACGCAUUAAGCACUCCGCCUGGGGAGUACGACCGCAAGGUUGAAACUCAAAGGAAUUGACGGGGGCCCGCACAAGCGGUGGAGCAUGUGGUUUAAUUCGAAGCAACGCGAAGAACCUUACCAGGUCUUGACAUCCUUUGACCACUCUAGAGAUAAGAGCUUCCCCUU